rnacentral:rRNA from 1 species
AUUGAACGCUGGCGGCGUGCCUAACACAUGCAAGUCGAGCGGUAACAGGUCUAGUUUACUAGAUGCUGACGAGCGGCGGACGGCUGAGUAACGCGUAGGAACGUGCCCCAAAGUGAGGAAUAACUGCCCGAAAGGGUGGCUAAUGCCGCAUAUGAUCUUCGGAUUAAAGUCUUCGGACGCUUUGGGAGCGGCCUGCGUUA